rnacentral:misc_RNA from 1 species
UGCAUUGGAACUGCAAAAGGAUUAGCUUAUCUUCAUGAAGAGUCAAGGCCAAGGAUUGUACAUAGAGAUGUGAAGGCAAGUAAUAUUUUGAUUGAUGCAGAACUCUGCCCCAAAAUAUCUGAUUUUGGACUGGCAAAGCUCUAUGAUGAUAAGAAAACCCAUAUCAGCACUCGAAUUGCAGGCACCAUAGGGUAUUUGGCACCUGAGUAUGCA